AUUAAAGUCACCUAAUGGAACUGACGAAGAAACAAAUGACAAAAUGAAAUGAAGUUCACAUUCAUCGAUUUAUUCCAAAUGAUCGUUAGACUAAGUAAGGCACAGACUGACCAUUAUAAGGGUAAAAUGAUACCCGGGGUCAAACAGCAAAGUUACCACAGCAUCACAACCAAGUCAGUAACGGGUAAAUCCUCCUCUGUUUGCCAAACAAGCAUUGAUCCGACGUGGCAUACUCCUAAUGAGACGUCUAAGGUCAUUUUGGUCCAGAUUGUCCCAUUCCUGUUGCAACGCAGCAGCAAGUUCUUGGACAUUGGCAGGACGUUGUUGACGUUGACGUAACCUCUGUCCAAGCAUGUCCCAGACAUGCACGAUGGGGGAGAGGUCGGGACUCAGUGCUGGCCAAGGUAAUGUGGUGAUGUUCUGUUGUUGGAGGUAACCUGUAACGAUCCUGGCCCUGUGACAUCUUGCGUUGUCAUCCUGGAAGAUGAAACGGCGGCCAUGACGUCGUGCGAACGGCACAACAUGGACUGCCAAGAUGUUGUCCCGGUAGUACUGACCUGUAACACGCCCUGCAACAACAUGUAAAGCCGUUCUUCCAGCAACAGUGAUGCCUCCCCACACCAUAACAGAACCACCCCCAAAUCGAUCAUGUCUGAUGACGUUAACGUCUUGGAAGCGCUCGUUUCGACGACGCCACACCCUCCUACGUCUUUCCAAAAAAUCAACAGUGAACCUUGACUCAUCUGAAAACAUCACAUUGCUCCAGCGUCGAUUAUCCCAGUGUUGACGAUCCCUACACCAACGACGUCUUGCCUGAAUGUGAUGAUCUCUCAAACAAGGGAUCACGCGAGGACGUCGGGCGCGAAGGUGACCCCUGUGCAGUCGAUUCCGAAUCGUCUGGCCACUCACUCUCACACCAGUGUCUGUUUGAAGACGAGCGCUGAUCUGAUUUGCUGUGAUGACACGAUUUCUCAAGGCCAAGGUACGGAUAAAUCGAUCCUGGGCUUGAGUUGUCGCCCUUGGUCGACCUAAGCGUGGUCUGUCCUGUACAGAUUGUUGUGCCGAUCUGUAGCAUGCCAAGGGCACGUAACCUUUCAUUUUGGGUAAGCCGACGCAUAUCAAAAUUUGUUUUCUGGUCACUAAAACAAUUAAACUGAUGUUUCCACCCUGGAAUUCAAUGCCACAAUGACUGUAACAUUCAAAGUCAGAGUCGUGCAAAUCUUGGGUUGGACCCCCAUGAUGAUCCCAAGCAUCACAUGCAUUUCAUGCGGUAGCUUUUGGUGCGUUUGGGCGUCACAUGUAACUGGAAAUGUUUCUUCUGUUAGGUUCUAUAGUGACUUUUUUCGUAGUCAUUUGCAUAUUUUAGUAUUAUGCCCCCAAAAUCAAAUAUCCCCUACUUUUUUUGAAUAGUAUAUAAGGAUUAAAAGGUACACAAAAUACUUUGUCGUGAGCAAUAGUUAUGUAGAUAGAGGGAUGAGGUUUAACGUCCACUAUGUCAUUUCUGAUUCUGGACAGACGACACUAAUUCUUGUCAGGUAUAAGGACUAAGACUAGUAAUUAUUUCCCCUUAUUUCAUGAUGUAGUGCGGGUUAUAAAUAGACAAUUUUUCCCUUAAUUUUUUUCUCCCCUCUUCCUGCAUUUUUUGGUUGACUUUUUGGUCUAGAAUUGAAGAAAAGGGAUCAAAUUUGCAAUUUCAUCGCAGUUGUGGGUAAUACUGAUGAUAUUAGAGCGGAGGGAUAGGGGGUGUAAAGUGUCUUUCUGCAGAGCAAUCACUGUGUCGGAAGUAAGAUUUUCACCCCAGUCAACUUCAAAUCCCCGUAGCAAAAACUCUAAAGAUUAGAACCAACGGAAUGUUGAGCAAAGAGCUACAGCCUGUGAUGUUACAGCCAUUUAACAUUGAAGUCAAUGGGCAAACAAUUGCUAGUCCUAAAUAGUACGCAGGCUAUGAAUGCAGAUAUUUUCGCAGCCACUUAUUUCCUGAAGUUUUGAAUGGGAAGUGUCAGAAAUGGUAUCAGGUUACUCACUGUGCAAGAGUGGAAGGAUUGACCUCAACACAAGUAUUAAGGCAAAAGGGAAUCAACUUUAUUUGAGGCCAGAUACAUGGAACGGUUCCACCAGUUAUUUGUUAUCCCACCCCGGCACACAACAGAAUGAGGGCGGCACUUUGAGCAGUCACCAUCGUAACACAUGAUAGUGGACUCUAGGACUUUUGCACUAACUUGGUUAGAAAGAGUCUGCAUGCCACUCCGAGAGGGCGGUGGAAUAUCCAAAUCUGUCAACAGAAGCCGAGCUCUGGUGUUUCCAACCGGCAUGUCUAACAGGUCAGAUUAAUAGCGUAGGGUCAGAUUAAUAGCGGCUGCCUUUCUUCCUGGUUUCCCAGUUGGAAUCUCUUUAUAUAACUUGUACACAGGUUAGAUAAAUGUACAUUUUGUACACUUUACAGAGUACAUCCAACCCGCUCCCCACUUCUGCUCACUAACAGGCUGGAAAUUUGGUACUGCACAGGCCUUUCUUCUCCCCUGAGCAUGUAACGGAAUGACAUAAUUCCAUAUUUCGAACAUUUUCUGGAUGUCUAUAAUCCUGUUUCCCUGGAUAGUGUUCGCCUCAGAAUUCUCAGUCUCAUCCAAAUUUAACAUUUCAGGUCUACAUCUCAAAACUCGAUGACUUCCCGGACUGGCUUCAGUAGAAAGAUGAUGCAUAUUAAUUUCACCCCUGAUCUCUGUGACACCUGUGGAAGUUGAGGGCAAAUCAUAAUCGGUUUGGGUUCCAGCCGAGAACCCCUGUAAACGUUGCUGUUUAGUGUUGACUUCAUUUCCGAGCUUGAAAAAGACAGCCUUGCGUUUAUUAUGGCCUCUCAUAUUGGAAGAUAACAUAAAUGGCUUGUAUGUUGACUGUUGUGCAUAUCUCUGGGCCAGGAAAGUUGUAGGUACCAUCACCAUUGUAAAUCAUUUGACAGACCAGAAUGAAGAGUGAGAACUAUGAUUGGUCAGCCAUGUAUCAGAUUCCAUACUAGGGGGUGGCGAUCAUAAAACUGUUGUAGUGUUACAUAAUCAGAUUAUCUGAACUUAAUUGUCCUAUGUAAAUACAGCUAUGUAGGAGACAUUUUAAAAUUUAUAGGCACUGCAUGUUUCAACAUCUUAGAUUUGACCACAAUUUGGCACUUGAAACUGCGUUAACAGAGAAAAACUAUGUGCUUUUCGAUGAAAAUGUUAAAAAAAAUCUAAUACUACAUGAUAAUUACUGUUUUAAAGGAUUUUCUUGUUUGAUUUAUAUUGAAUUUUUGUUAUCUUUUUACAGAAUGCAUUUAUGUUCAAAAAUAAAAAUGUUCUGUUUAAU